rnacentral:rRNA from 1 species
UACGUAGGGUGCGAGCGUUGUCCGGAAUUACUGGGCGUGAAGAGCUCGUAGGUGGUUUGUCGCGUUGUUCGUGAAAACUCACAGCUUAACUGUGGGCGUGCGGGCGAUACGGGCAGACUGGAGUACUGCAGGGGAGACUGGAAUUCCUGGUGUAGCGGUGGAAUGCGCAGAUAUCAGGAGGAACACCGGUGGCGAAGGCGGGUCUCUGGGCAGUAACUGACGCUGAGGAGCGAAAGCGUGGGGAGCGAACAGG